CCCUCUUGAGUAAGUUUAUUGAUAUCAUCAUGUAUAUUAAUCCCAGAUAGCACACAUACGUGUGGCCGACGUCUGCCCCAGAGCGGAACGUCGGCCUCAUAUCUGUAACAUCUAAUAAGGAUCGGCCAGGCAUAGGCGCGUGUCUUCAGUCAGUGCUCUAUUUCCAGCUCGUCUGCUUUGGGUCGGCUCACGACUGCAGGCCGAUGCCGCGCUUAUCUGUUUGCGCGUGAUCAUUCAUCUCUGCAACCCACGAGAGAAAUGGCGACUCCGGCGACAUCUGUGGUUUUCAGGAGUGAAAAAAUAAUUCUACAACACCGGAGGGGGAAGAGCUGCUGACAGAGGAGUAACUUUAGGAAACUCAGAUUCUUCCAUGCUGAUGGCCUGCACUCCUGUCGAAGAAAAUCUCAGGCUAAAAACCAUAUAACCAAUGAGAUGUGACCCCCAGCGUUUGGCGCUGAGAUUCUUCAGGACAAGGCCUUGAUGCCAUGAAGAUGGUGAGUUUCCCCAAUAGCUGCCAUUACCCAGAUCAAGAGAUUGAACACAACUUCAGUCUGUAUUAGUCUAUUUUGAUAGGUAUAUAUGUAGUGCUGGGCGGUAUACCGGUUCAUACCGAAUGCCGGUAUUUAUUUUUGUUAUGAUAUGAAUUUUGAUGAUACCGCAAUACCGGUAUGUGUCGCUUAACCAACGUUCAGAACGCGGCGCAGCCCGUCACUAAUAAAUGCAUUAAUAAAUACACUGACAAUUCAAAGAAGAAUGGGCAAAAAUUUAACUGCUUUAUUCUUUCUGUGUUAAACUUACAUGUGUCAUUUAUUCAGAGACUGUAGUGCUCUUAAAUGUACUGAAAAUAUCCUUAGACAGUUUAAAUGUUCUUCCGUGUUUCUCGUUUUGGUAGUUUGUUGUUAUAUAGGGUUAGAUUUUUAAAAUGCUUAAGGUGCCCUCAACUCUUUUUUUUUUUUUUUUUUUCUACAUGGUCAUAUUUUAAUAUUCAUGUGUCUGUAAUGAGUGUGUUGCAGGUCUGUGUUUUAUUGGUUGUUGUCUCCCCACAGCAUCAUUUUGUGGGGCUUUGUAAACCUGUAUUAACUCUAGUGUGGAAUUUUUCUACAAUAUUCACUCAUCCUGACAGUAAAACAGGGCAUUCUAGUCAAUCUACUGCAGUAUUUCCUCUCUCAAUCAGUAGAAUGUGGUUAACGCCCAGGCAUGCAUAGGGGAAAAAAAUACCGUCAUAUACCGUGAAACUGAUAUAAUUUUGAAAAAUACCGUGAUAUAAAUUUUUGGUCA